GACGAACGCUGGCGGCGUGCUUAACACAUGCAAGUCGAACGGAAAGGCCCGGCUUUUGUGGGGUGCUCGAGUGGCGAACGGGUGAGUAACACGUGAGUAACCUGCCCUUGACUGUGGGAUAACUUCAGGAAACUGGGGCGAAUACCGGAUAGGAGCUCCUGCUGCACGGGGGGGGUUGGAAAGUUUCGGCGGUUGGGGAUGGACUCGCGGCUUAUCAGCUUGUUGGUGGGGUAGUGGCUUACCAAGGCUUUGACGGGUAGCCGGCCUGAGAGGGUGACCGGCCACAUUGGGACUGCGAUACGGCCCAGACUCCUACGGGAGGCAGCAGUGGGGAAUCUUGCACAAUGGGCGGAAGCCUGAUGCAGCAACGCCGCGUGCGGGAUGACGGCCUUCGGGUUGUAAACCGCUUUCGCCUGUGACGAAGCGUGAGUGACGGUAAUGGGUAAAGAAGCACCGGCUAACUACGUG
rnacentral:rRNA from 1 species